AGAUGGAUCAUUCAUGAAUUUUGUAAUUUUUUUUGGUAUUUUCCUCUAUACGCGAAAUUAAGAGAUUAUGGUUGAGUUCGUAUGGCAAGAGCAAUAAGUGACUAUGGUUAAAUUCGUAUGGCGAGAGACAUAAGUGACUAUGGUUAAAUUCGUAUGGCAAGAGAAAUAAGCGACUAUGGUUAAAUUCGUAUGGCAAGAGAAAUAAACGAUUAUGGUUAAAUUCGUAUGGCAAGAGAAAUAAACGAUUAUGGUUGAGUUCGUAUGGCAAGAGAAAUAAGCGACUAUGGUUAAAUUCGUAUGGCAAGAGAAAUAAGCGACUAUGGUUAAAUUCGUAUGGCAAGAGAAAUAAACGAUUAUGGUUAAAUUCGUAUGGCGAGAGACAUAAGCGACUAUGGUUAAAUUCGUAUGGCAAGAGAAAUAAGUGCCUAUGGUUAAGCUCUUGUGAUAAGAGGUUUAAGAGAUUGUGGUUGUUUUCAUGUGCCAAAUGAAAUAAGAGCUUGUGAUUGAAUCCAUGUGCCAAAUGAAAUAACUGAUUAUUGUUGGGUUCAUGUAAAAAUCAAUAAAAUGUAUUUGGUUGUCGCAUAUUAAGCAAAUAGAGAUAAUUCCAUUACAUCUUUCAGCGAUGGAUGUCUCGGAUCUCGUAACGAUGAAGAACGUAGCUAGCUGCGAAAUGCAGUGUGACAUGCAAACUUCUGUGAAUCAUUAGAUUUUUGAACGCAAAAGGUACUUCUAAAUUCUAGGAGUAUGUUUGUCUCAGUGCUUUUAUAUAUUUGUUGACCUAAUUGGUGGUUAACGUGCAUAGUGGCUGUAAUUAUGGUCACUUUAAACUAAUGGUACUGGUUUUUAGGUAACAUUUUAGAAACCAUAUCCAAAAGUAUUUUGUUAAUAAGCCUGAGCUUGAACAAGUAUACCCGUUGAACUUAAGCAUAUUAUUAGGCGGAGGAAAAGAAACUAACCAGGAUUUCCUUAGUAACGGCGAGUGAACAGGAAACUGCUCAAACUGAAAAUCGGCAGUUCGCUGUCGAAUUGUAGUCUCAUGAAAUGCAGCCUGUAAAUAUUUUGACUUAAGUCUCUUGGAAAAGAGUACCACAGAGGGUGAAAGUCCCGUCUUUAUUCAAAAUGAUUUACUUUCGGUGCAUUUUCAAAGAGUCGCGUUCUUUGAGAUUGGAGCGCUAAGUGGGUGAUAAACUUCAUCUAAAGCUAAAUAUUAACGAGAUUCCGAUAGCGCGCAAGUACCGUGAGGGAAAGGUGAAAAGAACUUUGAAAAGAGAGUUAAAAGGUACUGAAAUUGCUGAAAGGGAAGUGGAGGGUUUUAACGGUUUAGCUAAAUUUCCUGUAUGUUCGGGGUAUCUUUUUAUCCACGAGUAUAUGAUGGAGAUUCGCGGUGACACUGGAGGUGGUUAUUUAGACUGGUUACAGUAUUGAUGUGUCCUAUUUUAGGGCUACAUCUUUAUUGAUUUCAGCCUGAAUAAUCCAUGUAUCUCUAACUCAACAAUUUUCUGUUGGAUUAUACUCUUCCAGGAAUGUUAAUUCCCUCCCCCCCGUCUUGAAUCACGGACCAAGGAGUCUAUUUUAUGUGCGAGUACAAGGGUUGAACACCUACGUGCGAAAUGAAAGUAAUAGUUAGGAGGGUUUUACCUGCACUGACAUUCGGUCAUUGAAUCGAAGUUGAGCACAUAGAAUAGGACCCGAAAGAUGGUGAACUAUGCCUGAGUAGGGUGAAGCUAGAGGAAACUCUGGUGGAAGCUCGUAGCGAUACUGACGUGCAAAUCGUUCGUCAAACUUUGGUAUAGGGGCGAAAGACCAAUCGAACCAUCUAGUAGCUGGUUCCUUC
rnacentral:misc_RNA from 1 species